GACGUAGGGCGCGAGCGUUGUCCGGAUUUAUUGGGCGUAAAGAGCUCGUAGGCGGCUUGUCGCGUCGACUGUGAAAACCCGUGGCUCAACCAUGUGGUCUGCAGUCGAUACGGGCAGGCUAGAAUUCGGUAGGGGAGACUGGAAUUCCUGGUGUAGCGGUGAAAUGCGCAGAUAUCAGGAGGAACACCGGUGGCGAAGGCGGGUCUCUGGGCCGAUAUUGACGCUGAGGAGCGAAGGCGUGGGGAGCGAACAGG
rnacentral:rRNA from 1 species